rnacentral:lncRNA from 1 species
UCUUCUAUGUGCACAGGUUUAGAAGCGGAUAUUAUGCGAUCAUAUGGUUGAUGUUACGAAAGGAGAUGAAUCACCUUUUUAUGUGAAAGAUAUAAUCGAAUCUAUGCCCAAAAGCUGAGGGACAUUAUGAACCCGACAUCAUUUGCAUGGAAAAAUCAUGCACAAAAGCCACACAAUCGUGUAGGGCAUUAGAAACGUGCCAUUUGCAAACAAGUAACCCGAGAAAGGAG